CAUCUAUGGCCUACUACCCUAGUUGCCCCCAAUCUUGUCUGGUCUCAGAAGCUAAGCAGGGUCAGGCCUGGUUAGUACUUUGGAUGGAGUAGAGAAGAUCUCAAAGAGAC
rnacentral:rRNA from 1 species